rnacentral:rRNA from 1 species
UUCAUCGGCGCCGGUAAAAAUUUAAGCAUUCCCCUGGGGAGUCGGUCGCUAGAUUAAAACUCAAAGGAAUUUCGAGGCCCCCACCAGCGGUGGAGCAUGAGGUGUAAUUUUAAGCAACGCGCAGAACCUUACCUGCCCUUGACAUCCAUCGACAGUCGCAGAGAUGCGUUUUUCCCUUCGGGGAGGCGAGACAGGUGUGCAUGGCGUGUCACUUGUGUCGUGAGAUGUUGGGUUAAGUCCCGCAACGAGCGCAACCCUCCCCUUCAGUUGCCACAUUUAUUGGGCACUGGAGGGACGCCGGUGUAAGCCGGAGGAAGGUGGGGAGAGUCAAGUCCUCAUGGCCCUUACGGGCUGGGUUACCACGUGCUACAAUGGCGGUGCAAUGAGCAGCGACUUCGCGAGGAGAAGUAAUCUCAAAAAUCAUUCUCAGUUCGGAUUGCACUCUGCAACUGAGUGCAUGAAGUUGAACCCCGUAGAA